CAGCACCUCAAGUGGUCAGGAUGAUUAUUGGGCCUAAAGCAUCCGUAGCCGGCGCUGUAAGUUUUCGGUUAAAUCUGUACGCUCAACGUACAGGCUGCCGGGAAUACUGCAGCGCUAGGGAGUGGGGGAGGUAGACGGUACUCGGUAGGAAGGGGUAAAAUCCUUUGAUCUAUUGAUGACCACCUGUGGCGAAGGCGGUCUACCAGAACACGUCCGACGGUGAGGGAUGAAAGCUGGGGGAGCAAACCGGAUUAGAUACCCGAGUAGUCC
rnacentral:rRNA from 1 species